GCUGGAGAAGGCAGGUUUGCAAGGAAGUCCACUGCUGGAUAAUGGUGAAGGGACAAUAUUUCCCAAGUACUGCUGAUGAAAUGUCAGGCGGAGGCCCAGCCAUCUCCCUCAGAAAGUCGUUCCCUGUGCACGAUGGGCCUGAGCCAACAUACCCAGAACACUGUGGCAAUAUUCCCGUGUGUGGCAACACAUCUGAAACCUGAA